UUUCCUUUGUUUAAACCACCAACUCUGUGGUAUUUAUUAGGACAGCCCUAGCAAAUUAAUACAACAUAUGUUAUCCCAUUGACUUUUCUGCACAAACAAAUGUUGGGUCAUUGGGGUUUUUGGUUUUUAGUCUUUUAAGUCUCCUUUAGUUUUCAAUUUCCACUUGCAUCUCUCUCUCUUUUUUUUAAUUGAAGUUUAAUUAACAUACAAUGUUCUAUUUGUUUCAGGUGUACAGCAUGGUGAUGCUUCUAUACAUUACUCACUGCUCACCAUGGUAAGCAUAGUCACCAUCUGCCACCAUACAACAUUAUUACAGUAUUAUUGACUAUAUUCUCUAUGCUGUACUUUUCAUCUCCUUGACUUAUUUAUUUUAUUCCUGGAAUUUUGUACCUCUUAAUCCCCUUCACCUAUUUCUCCAUCCCCCACCCACCUCCCCUUUGACAAUCACCAAGUUUGCUUUCUGUAUUUAAAAGUCUUUUUGAUUGUUUGUUCAUUUGUUUUUUUAGAUUCCACAUGUAAGUGAAAUCAUAUGGUAAUUGUCUUUUUUAAACCAAUGUAUUAUUAUCAUAAUUUGUAGGUAAGAAAACUGAUGAUUUGAGAGAUAAGUAACUUGUCCAUGGUCCCCAGGUUGUCAAAUAGCUUGGCCAGGCUUCAAACCUAGUUCUGCUGGAGGAUACCUGAUAUAUGGUAAUAUUGUAACAAAUAUUAACUCUUGUCAUUUAUUAUUGCUAUUGGCUUCAGAAAGAUAAUAUCCCAUUCAGAUAAGCACACUACCAAGAGAUGAAUUUUAUGUAGAUUAAUGGAGGUAUUUCAUGUAAAGAAGGAAGGAAAUAUACUGGUUUUCUUGUAGGAAAAGCAGGAACCCAAGUCCCACAAAUAUUGCUCAAACUCAGCAUGAAGUUGACCUUAGCUUCUUAGCCAUAGGUUAUUAUAUAAGCCUCCAAAAUACAUAGUUUUAGAUAUCAAAUGUACAUUGAUUUAUAAGCAGAAUAAGAGGUCUUUUUGGUGGAAAUAUGUUCUGUAGGGAUAGUGUUAGAAUGCAUUUACACCCACUCUAAAACCCAAAAUUCUUUUCUAAAUAAGACCUUAGAAGUCUUUGCCCUAGUCAGUCAAAAUGGCCCCUAUAAUAUGGCCAAAGAUUAAAAUUUAUGUUCACAAUUGUUUUAAACCAAGAUAUUACUCUCUGGCUUCUCAAUCAUAUUUUUAUUCUUUUUGUACAUCUCAUCAAAGCAUUUCGAUUAGAACAAGUCAUUGAGCAGAGAAGCCAAAAUAAAUAGUUGAUUUAAAUUACUACAGUGAAGGGACCACAGUUUCAGUCAGGCCUAAGUUAUGGGGACUUUUAAUGAUUCUAUGAGGUUCUAGUGUUUAUGGAAUUGGCUUGUACAUUGAUUGUUUUUUUCUUCCUGAUUUAUUUCUGAUUUCUAAAGUCAACCCAUGAAUUUCUUAGUCUGUCUGGUCAGAAUUUUUUGAUGGCUUCUCAGAGGUUCCAGACUCUGAGAACCUCAUAGAUUUGCAAACCUCAUGGUUUGCUUUGCCUUGGAACUCAUUAACUCCUGUCACUUAGCCUGAAGCUGGUGACCUCUGCCUAGCAACCUGGCCACAUUACCUAUGUUUGCUAUAUAAGAACCAGAGGUGCCAUCCAGCUCCACUGUUUCCAUCUCUGCUUCUGGAAUGGACCAGACAAUGCUGCAGUCAAAUGGGAAUAAAGCUAGAGUACAAUCCAUCCACAGUGUAAUCUUCGUUCAUGUCUUUCUGGGUGUAUCAGGUGAUCUGGGUGGAUCAGGGGACAUCAUGGAGUGGUUGAGUGCACAAAUUUUGGGCAUGGGCAGAAUUGGUUCCAAUGUCAACGGCCACCUACGAGUCACAUGACUCUGGGAAUGUUACUUAAUCAACCCAGACCUCAGUUUCCUUAUUCAUUUUUUUUCUUCCUUAUUUGUUAAAUGGAAAUAACAACUAUGUUGCGGGUUUGCUGAAAAGAUUAAGGAAGUAACAUAGGUGAAGCAUCUGGGAAAGUGUCUGACAUGUGGUAGGUGCCUAAUAAUGAAGACCGUAAACAGAAGUUUGAUAACUUCACCUAAUAUAACUUCCAGUGCUUGCUGUGUGGUUGAAAUUUCAUUUGCAACACAACAAAGCCUCCUUAUAUUUCUACAGGGAAAAAAUACCAUGGCAGCCUGAUGUGCAAUUGGGAUUUAACCUCACAUAAGACCCAAGAGUCCCUAUGGAGGGCAUUCUCCAUGUGUUUCAAACUUGGUGCAUCAUCCACCAAGCAUGUUCCCUCCGGAAAAGCAGGAGACCGCCCAAGGUUUGGAUAAGUUCAGGGAAGCAUCUGAACUUUUUGGGAGCUGUCCCAUCAAAACUGGAGUUGUCUGGGUUUUGACCGCUGGGGCCAAUAUUCUUUUCUGUCUGGACUUUUAAAAAAGAUCAGAACAUUGGGUUAGUAUUCCCAGUUCUCUGUGUCAUUAGAAGCUCUUAAGCACGAAGAUUCCACUAAUUUCAACCAGAAUUUUGUGGGUAAAAGACAUGAGUAAUGUGAGAAAAUGAAUGAGGACAUUGGCACUCACUGGGGGAAGUUAGGAACUUCAAGGAGAAAAAUAAAAGCUGUCUUCAUCAGCCAGCCUAAGUUGGAGGGGUUUUUAGGAUAUGUGAUUGUUCCCAGCACCCUGUUUUGAAUCUCUCUUACGUUUCAUAAAGUCAGAAAGUUUGGGUUUGAAUUCUGUUCGAAUAUUAACAGAUGGGGUGUAAGAAGACUUCUUACAGCCUUCCAAGCCUCAGUUUCCUCAUUGGUAAAAGGAAAUAUUAAUAAGUAUUCUAUAGGGCUGUUGAUUCGUUCGUUUAUUCAUUCAUUCAGUUGGUCUGGCACAUAGCGAGCACUCAGUAAAUAGUAGCUCCCAGAAAGUUUCUAUGGAAUCUUUGUAAUUCCAUGUACCUGGAUUUCAAGGAAAAUUUCACAUUUGUGUCUCAACUUUUUUUAUUUUGCUUAGGAAUACAUUUUCACCUUUAUAAAAAAUGCAUUUGACCCUUUAGAGCCCUCAGAGAAAUUUUUUAAAUAGAAAAAUGUGUGUCCUUCUAAAAUCAAGCCAGUGCUGGGGCACUUGGGUGGCUCAGUCAGUUGAGCGUUAGACUUUGGCUCAGGUCUUGAUCUUGCAGUUCAUAAGUUCGAACCCCAAAUUGGUCUCUGUGAUGACAGCUCAGAGCCUGGAGCCUGCUUCACAUUCUGUGUCUCCUCUCUCUGCCCCUCCCCUGCUGACACUCUGUCUCUGUCUCUGUCUCUCUCUCUCAAAAAUAAAUAAACAUUAAAAAAAUUUUAAAUCAAACCAGUGUUAUUGAACCUCACUAAAAUGUUAGUUAGGCUCAGUCUGUAUGUUUCUCAAUUCACUUUAAUUACCACUCAUACAACUUAGCUACAUCCAAAUGUGUCUACAGGGUCAAGCCAUCAAAUGGCUUGACAUUCAGGAAAGAAGCACCCUCAGUGACGAAGAGCACAGGCCCCAGCUCCAUGAGGGUCCCCAGUGCUGCUACAUAUACUGCACACCAUGAGGGUGAGCAGAGUGUAUGCAACUGUUUGCCUUCAUAGAGUUUAUGACUUUGCAUGGCUUUUAAUACUUCCCUCAAGUAGUAUCAUUCGCCUCUCAAACUUUAAUAAUUCUUUUUUGAGUAGUGUCUUUCUGUCCUCCCCUCCCCCCCCAUCAUUUUGAUUUCUAGUCUAUUGUCUUUCAGAGUCUGGAGUACGCUCCUGAUUUAUCCAUGACUGAAUCUUGCACUACCCUGAAGAAAAUUGUGAUUUGAGUAAAUACCGCACAUUGCUUUCAUUAAUAUGUCACAUUAAAUUUAAAAUCUCAAGUGCAAAUCAAAAGUUGGACAUCUUAACAUUGUUCAUACUUCAGGAAAGUCUGCAAGCUGGGAAUAAUUUUUUCUCAUGGGCCAAACACACCACACACACACACGCAUGCGCGCACACACACACACACACACACACACACACACACACGGCAGAUUCUUAUGGUUCCCAACAGUUUUGUUUUGCUUUGUUUUGUUUAACCUCCUCACCAUCAAGCAUAUAGCUCACCCCAUGAAUGAGCAGCAUUUUCUCCUCAAGGGCAGUGAUUCUGUGGGUAGGGCCACAUGUAAUUUGAAAAAGUAUAUUCUCCCACCCCAUGGUAUUGAGAAUCAUGUCUCCAAUUGCAUCAAGAGAAUAGGAUUCCUUCUGCCUGCUCUGAUGGCUUUAUUGAGAAAAGCUUGGCCAGAAUUGUCAUGCUUUGAAGUCAGCAAAAUCAGCACCUUAAUCUGUUUUGGAGAUAAAGGGUCCCAUUGGAAUUCUUUCUUGAGAGCUUGCCUGAAUAGUUACCCUCGACAUCCCUGUUCCACUCACAGCCUUUCUGCUGUCAUCAUGCACUCACCAUAGUGACCUGUUGCUAGGUCAGUGAUGUCCCCUGAUGGUACCAGGAAACCUUCCCAGCCCCUCCUUCUUGUAGAGAAACAAAGAGAAGGAUCACUAGACAAAAGCUUGAGAUUUCCUUAUGAAAACAUAAUGAUUCUCUGAGAGAUUUUAUAGCAGGCCCAGAAUAAAAACAAACAAACAAAAUAAAAGAAAACAAACAGAAAAUGUUUUCCUCAUAUUCAUUCCAUGAAGAGUUCAAAUUUCUCAACAGCAAAAAAUAAGUCAGGAAGGCUUAUAAGGGAAACAGAACAAAGAAAGCUCUUGGGGAACAAUUCUGAGAAUGGCCUACUUCCUGGCCUCGUGUGAACUGUCACCUAUGAGAAGGCACAAAGUGAGGACAUCAUUCAUGGCCUGCCUCCUAUCCUUCUCAUUUCCUCCAUGAGAAUAACAAAACUGACAUAAAGCAAAAAGAGAUGGGUACCACUCACCACGUCAGGAAAGAGAAUCAAAGAGCAAGAGAAAAGGAAGAGAGGGAGUGACCGGUCACAUCCAGGGGCCUAAACAGAAACUCAUUUUCCAGGAGAGGAAGAUUUGUCCAGCCCCUCAUGUGGGAUCUGGGACCUCCAAGCUGCUGAGUUUGGGGCUGGCAGCAGCUUCUCAGAAUCUGCCUUUUGAGAGUAAGUGAUGCUUUCCUUCCAAUAGAUUUGACUAAGCUAAUUAUGCCUUUGCAGUUGUUCCUACUUAGAGGGAAAGGGCAGCAUUUUAUCAAGAAGAUGGUUUUUGGCUGCUUGUGUCAACCUGCUCUCCUUUUUUUUGAGAACUGCCAGUUUCCAGAAGUCAUUUCCUCCCGGCCUGGAGUUGCAGGUACAAUAGCACACAAAAAAGAAGAAACGAAUCAUCAUCAUCAUCAUCAUCAUCAUCAUCAUCAUCAUACUACAUAAUAAUAACCGUGGCCAAUUCUAUGACCAAAUAUUGAAUUUAUUUUUUAGCCUUCAUAGAUAUUAAUAGUUGCCACUGACACUAACUGACCUGGUUUCUCAUUACAACAAAAUUCGAUUUUUCUGGAAUGGAUUUGGGACUCUCCCACAGAAUGGUGGGAAAAUACAGGCAGAGUAAGAACAUAGUUGGACAGGGAAAUUUGAGUAGGUUUCUUAGCAACCUGUUAGAUUCACAUUUGAGUAAAGAAUCCGACUAAUUUGGAAAUACUGCUUAUCAGAAACAUGACUACUGUUCAGUGGAAACGUGUGUGCCUAAAGGAGAGUUAAGCUGCUGUGGGUGACUAAGUUCACAGGCAUUGUCUCCUAUGGCAGCAUUCUGCAGAUUUAAAACAGGUGGAUGGCCAGUAAUUUGCCUUUUGUGAAAAUAACAUUCUGUUAAAUGUGAUAUUAAUAUAUCAUAUUUCUCCAAGAGCAGGCCAUGCCUUGCAGGCUUCAUCUAACGAAUUCUCCCAACAUCCCAGGAGAGCGGAACAUGAAUGGGAAACUGAUUUGUUCAUAUGUGGCCAGUAAAGUUCAUGAUUUCCUAACAGGAAAAUGUAAAUUCCCCCCAAAAAUAACAACAACAACAAAACCAACUAUACUGCCAAGGUAGGGAUUCUGGCGAGAUGUUCGAAGGGGGUGAGGUAGUAAACAAUGAUGUGAAAUUCAACUUUGAAGAAAAGUUUGGGGAGAGCUAACAGAAAGAUAGAAGGUGGGGUGGGUGAGGAAGAAAUCUUGGGUGCUUUGGGAGGGAGAGAGGUUGAGAGAGAGAGAGAAUGGGAAACUGACUCUGUGUGACAAUUCUUACACAAUUAGGUUAUUAUUUAUACAGAAAAUUAUGAUCCCUUGAGAUUUGGUUGAAGAGUCAUCUUCAGUCCUGUUUUUAAUGGAAACAUCUUACUGUUUAUUAAUAACAAUAGCUACCAUGUAGUGGGUGCCUAAAAAGUGUGGUCGGGCUGAUUGCACAGAAUCCCUCCAACAACUGGAUGACAUCUGCAUUCCUGUUAUUCUCAUCUAACACAAGAACCUGCUGUUGAAUGACUUUCUGAAGUCUCAGGGGUGGUAAAAGUCAGGGCCAGGGGCCAGGCCCACUUCUGUCUGCUCGUAAAGCCUCUGUUCAUACCCACGGCAUUAUGUAUUCCCCGUCUCCUAGGGCAGGGGAGGCAUAGCUAGAAGGAAAACAGAGGUCACAUUUAGAGGGGCUGAAUAAUGAGAACAACUUAUACCCAAACUUUAAACUGUUGACUCGAACACAGGCGCUGGUGGAAGCAAAGGGAUCUGGUAAAGAGAGAAGAAAAUCCAUAUGUGGUAAUAACACUGUGUAACUCAUUUGUGUGGAGCAUCCAGAGUUGUAAUGGGUCACGUCGUCAGUGGAGGCCCAGCCAUGUCGUGUGACAUCAUGCAUGUAGCUAUCACCGCCAUGGCCUUGGUGGUUUGUCUCUGUCAGCCACAGGGCUGAUUGAGUGGGAGAAGAGCCCAUCUCCCACCAGUGAUAGAAUUUUUUUAGACUUGCCCUGUUCAUUUGUUAAAUGUUUAUUUAUUUUGAGAGAGAGAGAGCAUGUGCAUAUGCACACAAACUGGGGUGGGGCAGAGAGGGACAGAGAGAGAGAAUCCCAAGCAGGAUCCGCAUUGUCAACACAAAGCUCAACUCAAGGCUUGAACUCAUGAACUGCAAAAUCAUGACCUGAGUGGAAAUUGAGAGUUGGAUGCUUAACCAACUGAGCUACCCAGGUACCUUAUCCUUGUCCGUUUUUCACAGAACUCCAUGUUAUUACUUUGUUGAGCCAUGAAUUGAGCUAUAGCCGUCUUUCUCUGCUCAGGGAUUUAGCCCAAGCUGCCAAAGGGGUUCAGUUAGAAGGCAACUGGUGUGUGCCCACCCAGUGUGGCAUCCACAAGCAUCCUUCCUACCAACACCCCAGUUAAGGUUUCUCCUGUCAGAAUGAGCUCCUCUUCUGAGGGCUCCACCCCAGAGUCAUGGGGUGGCCCUAAUCUCAGGGUCUAGGUCCUGCCAUUGGGCAUUACCUCAGAUGCUCCCUGUGUUAUCUCACUGAGUAUGUUCUUUAGUUUAAGCCAUUGUGAAAAUAGCACUCAAGCAGCCUAUUUCUGCAGGCCUGAAUUUCAGGUGUGACUCUUGGGCUUAUACUUGCUAGCUGUGAGAUUUGGGACAAGUCACUUAAAAACAGACAUACAACACCUUUCUAAAUCUUGGUUUCCUUAUCUGUUGUAUGUGGGUACCAGCAGCUAACUGAAAACCAACUUUAUUUUUUUUUUUCUAGCAUCCCACUUGUAGGACAAAAAAAUAAAUAACAAGAAGUCAAAUUCAAUUUUGGGGUUUCUUUUAUAAGCCAAUUUUUCAAACUCACCUGUGAAGAUUUAGCCUGAACUCCUAUGCUCCUGGAACUACAUCUCUAAUUAUAACAUCCUUGUAGUUGCAGGUUUUAAGUUAAUGAAAAUGGUUUCAUGGAAGAUUUUUGUAAUCUUCACGUAAUCCUGUGGAGAACAAAUGCGAAAACAGACGCCUAUGGCUUUAAGAGAAACAGUCAUCCUGGAGAGUGUUGCAGGUGUUAAGGAAAAGAAUGUUUCUCGUGCCUUGGUUCAGGGGAUUCCCAAAGGCACACUGUGUCUGCUUCCAACAGCCCGCAGCCUUCAAGGUAAAGAAAGUGGAUCCCAGAGUGGCUAAGAGAUGAGGCAAAACCAGGAUGAAUUUGAAUUCUCUAGGCAAAGCCUGCAAGAGGAGCCCACUGCUCCACUGAAUUCUCCUGUACAAGUUGAAGCUCAUGUGGAACAGAAUCUACAGUGAGAGAUACUGAAUGGUCCUUUUGUAUACUUUGAUCUGAAAGCUUCCCAACCUCUAAGGCAUAUUUUAAGAGUAGAACUAAAGAGAGAGACAGAGAUGCUGAGGAAACUGAGCCAUAAAGCAUGCUGUGCAGGUGAUACAUUGAAGAACCACUCAGCCCACAUCACACAUGUUCCUUAGCCUGCCUGCCUCCAUUGGAGGGCUAUCCCAAUAAAUCCAGAUUGCCUGCUGAGAUGAUCAUCAAAAAGUACUAUCUGCGAGAGUCAAGGUAUGAAAAUAAUCUACAUGUCCAUCGACAGAUGAAUGGAUAAAGAAGAUGUGGUGUUUACAUAGUGGAAUACUAUACAACCUUCAAGAAAGAAGGAAGUUCUGCAAUGUGCAACAGCAUGGGGGACCUUGAGGGCAUUAUGCUAAGUGAAAUAAGCCUGCGUGAUUCCUCCUACUCAUUCUUUAUCACAACUCUGCACAGCAUUAUGAAUAGCUAACAUUUUGCAGAUGUAGUACUCAAAGCUCAGAAUGGGUAAGAAAUAUGCCAGCCAGAGCCAUCCAGCAAGCAAGGACGGAAGCUGGGAUUCAAAUAGAUUCCAAAAAGCCCCUUCUAUACUAUGCUCCCAAGGGGUUCAGGUGCCCCUGGUGCUCCAGAGGACAGGAGAGUGGGCGGAGCCUAGGAUGCUGCAGGGGGUCAGGCCUGGUCCUGAGAAAGGGCCAAGGGUCCAGGGGGAGACUUGCCCAGGGAACGCAGGGUGCUGGGAUCUCUGUACCUCCCUCCUCUAGCCCCCAAUUUUGCAUCACCACCAGACAGCUGUUUGAAAUACUACAGUUCCAAUCCCCAUGACUCUUUUGGAAUUCUUCCACCAUCCCCACGGCCUCAUAGUCCCUGUAUGGGAAAUUGUGCUUUAGAGAGAUGUCGUGAAUAUUCAGGAACAGUGAUUAUAAAUCUUUUGGCAAACAGACAGUCCUAUAGAAAUGUUAAAUAACCGUAUGUUCCCAUUUAACUACAUUUAUAGCAUUUGGAUGGAACUGAGACAUUUUGCCUCUUAUUUAGGACUUAUACUAUUCGGUAUUUGUAAAGAAAUCAUCAGCCACUUCUUACAUAAGGCAGAAGAGAAGUUCUUUUCAUCUUCAUGCCCUCUGUUCUAGAGAAGGUUUUUGUUUUUGCUUUUGUUUUGUUUUGUUUUAUUUGUUUUUGUUUUUGUUUUUCUGUCUGCUCUGAGUGCCCUGUCAUUGGUUGCGUCUGUUACAAACAGUCUCUUAAUUUUGUGACUUACACCUAUCAAAAGACUUCAUCAAUUCAUUGUCUUUUUGAAGGCAUUUAUAGGUCAUUAAAAAAAUCUAAAUUCUGUAGAGUUAGCCUUCAUUGUAGAUGAUAACAUUUAACAUGAUCUCUUUCUACAUGGUUCCAUCCUGUUGUGCAACAAUACCCUCCUCUCACCCCAAAAUUAGAGUAUGUAGCUCCAAAAUCCAAUUACCCACAUAAACUUGGGACCUGUUAUCUGGAUAAAUGAUAUCCAUAAGUGUUCCAAGAAACUUUAACCUUAAUAACUUCUUAAUAAUUAAUAGCUCUAAAUUAAUCUAAAGAGCCUUUCCCUAGAGUUGCCAAAAAAGAAUACAAUUUAACUACUUUGAGAGCCUUUACUCUGUUCCCAUCCCACGCUUCCAUGAAAAGUUCCAAAGAGAUGCAGAGGAAAGGUGGAGAGUCAGAGGAGAAUGAAACGAAGUGAGGGCUGGUGAUUACAAACUGUACAAUCAACCAUCCACUUCCCUGAGCUUGAGUCUGCCCUUUACAUUCUUCUUAAAGCUGGAGGUACUUCUGUUUUUUCUCUCCUCAGUGGAGCGUCCAUGAAUAGUUUCCUUCUCCUGGAAUGCCAUUAAAUUGCAAUCAUCUUCCCUCAUAAAGUCUUUCUGGAGGCCACCAGAUAGACCGUUAUCUUUGUCACCUCCUCGCUGAUACAAUCUGUAAGGGCUCUCUCCUCUCAGAGCCCAAGGCUCACUCCCUGCUGUGUUAUAUCUGGUAGGCCCCCAGUACAAAGUUUUGGGGGGGGGGUCUGGAGUUCAGUCAUGCCUCACCCGGCUCUUCUGCAUCUUUAGUAAACUAAGUUAGUACCAACAUGUCUUAAAGCAAUCAGGUCUUCAUUUAUACCCUUUAAAUAUCGGUAGACAGUUAUCAUGGCCCUCAGUCCAGAAACAUGCUAACCCCUUCUGCCUUCUCCCAGAAAAUGCACAUGAACAGUGUUCAUGUUGUUUUGGAAGACCUUAGAUGGCACCAAACAGAUUCUGAUUCCCUUGUCAACAGAAACAGAAAGUGAAUUUGUCUUACCCCGUGCACAGAGAAGCUUUUCUUCAUAGUAAUUUGUAGUGUCGCUGAUAAACAAUGGGGAGAUUGUCAAACAGCAAUCAUAAAGCAUAAAUAACAUUUAAUUUAAGCCGCCUUGUAUGCUGCUAAUAUGUCUUCUUUAACUUUUGUCUGCAAACUGUUUUCCUACCUCUAUUUCUUUUGGCUUUAUCUUCUGGUAAAAUGCAUAAAUCUAUACUUUGUAGCAAAUUUCACUACAGCAAACUCUGAUUCCACUGCAAGUUCUUCAAGGACAGUGAUUAUAAUAGUAAUUCCUGUGUGUGUGUGUGUGUGUGUGUGUGUGUGUGUGUGUGUGUGAGACAGAGAGAGAGAGAGAGAGAGAGAGAGAGAGAGAGAGAACAUGUCAAAUAAGUGAGUGAAUGAAUACAUAAGUGAAUAAAUGAAUAGAAAUUGCAAAAGGGAAUCAUCAGGAUAUAGGAGAUGGUAAAAUUUAAAAACAAGGAAGAAAAUCUGGUCACAUUUCCACAUUCACUGCUGAUGUUGUAUUAUGACUGAAACCAGUCCUAAAAAGGUGUGAUGACAUGUGGCAAAUUGCUGGUUUUGGAGACGAACGGUCUUUACCUUGAAUCCUGGCCCCAUGGUCUACUGGCCUCCUAAACCCCUCUGAGCCUCAGUUUUCUCUUCUGUAUGAGGCCGUUCAAACAGCCAUAACAUUCACCUUGCAGGAUUUAGGAUUCACAAUAGAUUAAUGUCCCAAGGGCUUGCCGCUCUGCCCACCACAGGGAGUGCUUAAUAAAUGGUGUAAUUAUCUCUGAAUGGCAUCCUAGUAAGUGUUGAAGUGAAGAAAUUUCAUAUUUUGGCUAAAGUAUGUAUUCCACAGAUCUGUUCUCUCACCUCUCCUACUUCUUACCCAUUGUUUUUUAAUCCUUUAUGUUCAUUUUACUGAAGUAAUUUCAGUUCUCCUUUCAGCAGAGGAUUCAGAGCUUCACAAUCCCCAGAGGGGAUAAAGGCCAUGUUAAGUGAUGCCUUUGUUGUAUCUUGACCAGCUUCAGAGGGGGGCAGUGGCAGAGACCCGGGCGUUCCAGGAGCCCUGCCCCGUGCUGUAUUCGGAGUCCUCUUAUAUUACCACUGUUCCUGGUUUUUGACGAUAAGACUGCACUAGAUACGUGAAAUAAAGGACAGCGUUCCAACAAUCAAAGGAUCAACUCUCAACAUAAAUAAGAAGUACAUAAAUAAUAGUAGGAGACAGGCCAGUGAACAUUUUUCAAAUUCUAAGGGAUAUCAUUUGAAUGGUCUCUCUUCCAGAAUUUCUUAUCUGAAGUUGAAAAAAGAUUCUUGGAAUCCUUUCUGCCAAUAAAACUUGGAAGUUUUGCAACAACACCAACAGGGCAAGCAACUUAGACGUGAGGCUGCCGUGUUGCCUGUAGGUUCGGCCCGGGUCCCACCCUGUCUGUCCCAUGGAAGCAAAUCUGCACAACUAGGAUUACCCUGCACACCACCACAACUGACAAGAGGGCCAAGAACAGACAAAGGAGCCAGGAGUUCAAUUGUCUAAGCAGGGGUUGGAGAUGUCUCUGCAAGACAGGCUACUUGGCAUAGUUGGGAGCCCUGGAGCUGCCGUAAGCACAGGGCACGAAGCCCCUGGACGGAGAAAUCGCUGAGCCAGGCCCUGUGGUCAGCUGUACAAGAACUGCCUCAUUCAAGCCUCAAAAAGCCCCGUGAGUAAAGCACUGUGGCUGUUGUCCCAUUUUACAGAAGGGGAAACUGAAUGCAGGGAUAUUAAGUGACCACCAAACUCAUACAGGGUUAGGAUUCACAUUCCAGCAUAGGGCCACACUCCUAACCACUGCGCCAUCCCGCCUCCUGCAGGGGGACCUUAGCAACUGGGAAAGAGGAUGCAGCGCCGUGUUAGGUGAACUUGGAUGAUAGCUACACGUGCCUUGUCCCAGGCCUGAGAUACAGGGCUGUCGAAAGUGCAUUUUCCGCUCAGGCAUGGUGGGUGGAGAUGUGGAGAUUACAGUAUGUUCGUGGGGAAGAGGAAAGAGACUUGGUGAGGGAUGGAAUGUGGACCAGUAAGGUGUGUGCAUAGCACACAGACGUGUCCAUACACACCCACGCACCAGUUCAUAAGAAGCCCCAGGUAAGUUGGUAGGGGUGGUUCUGCCUCUCUUCACACACACCUCUUUUUUCUACACCAAUUUCACCUUGCCCGAUUCCUUGCUUAACACAUUCUUACCGCCCUUUUGCCAUCUUCACCGCCCCCCCCACACCGCCCCGCCAAGUCCUGACUGCCCAGUUGGAGCAGAUUCCUUUCCAUUAUCUGCAUAUCCAAAUUUUCAGCUUACUUAUCCUAUCCUCAUGCCCAAAAUCCUGGCUGAAUUUGUUAAGACUGAAAUUAAACCACAACAUAAAAGGAAAUUAAUGCUGAAUAGAAGUAGUACUUUAAAAAAACAAAUUCAUGAGCUUCAGUGUCAUUCUGACUUCUGGAAACUUCUUCCCAUGAAACUCAUAUAUCUUCUGAGCUUAACACUCUGGUCGUUAUGAUCACUUUACAUUUUUACCUCUUCCAACUGGGUUUUUGCAACUUGGAGAUCAAGUUUGUUGCGUAACAACAUUAACAGCUAAUAAAUUAGGCUCCCCCCUGCCAUUUGCUUGAGCAGGGCUGGCGGAGUCAAGUCCUCACGGAAUUUGGGAGGAACUUACUCUGGGUCUGAUCCUCCACUUGGGCUAUAAGGUCAGGAUUCCACGCUGGAGCUGUGCCAUUCUUAAUGAGGGGGUGGAUCCGAGACUCGCCAAGGUGUGAGUCCAUAUGCCCUUCUCCAAAACUCUUUGAACCGCUGUGACUCAGAAUUGUUUAGACUUCAGGGAAGAUAUGUGCAUUUGCUGCACAUUACGUAACAUCUCCCACAGGGGUCUGAGGCAGCACCCCUAAUCAAACACAUUAAUGUUUCCGUAGCUAAAUAUAUAAAUAUUCACUUUAAGUGGGAUACAUGUAAAAUAUAAAUAGUCUGAUAUUAUCACAAUAUAAACAACAUAAUAUAACAAAUAAUGGAAACAUAAAUAUUUAACAUAAUAUAGAUAUAAAUAUUAAAAUAAUAAAUAAUGUAAGUAGAAAACAUAAAUAAUCAAUUUGGGCUAGUUUGGACUGUCAAAGUAAUUCUAGAUGAGGUUGUUGUUGCCAAAUGAGUUAUCAAAACCCUUUUGGUUUUGAAGUUUUUGGAUUUGGGGUUUCACGAAGAAGAGGUUGUAGGCUUGUUAAGGCAAAUAGCUGCCGUUUCGCGCCCUCACAUGGUCUCCUGGGAUCCCGAUAUGCACCUGCAUGGGAGGGAACUGUUCACAGCUCCAUGUUACGGAUGAGGAAACUUUGAAGUGGAAAGUCUAGGAACAUGGCCCGAGGUCUCAGCAUUAGAGAGAGGAUUCAGACCUGGAGUAUCUAAGCCCAUGGAAGGCCCAUCCUCUUGCUACUACAAUGUUCUCCCCAGAAGAAAAUAACCAGCUUGACGGAUUUCUUCCUUAAGAUGACAGCUUUCUUUACCCCACCUGUCUGACAAACAGGCUCCUGGCUACUUGGCUUUCUCAGCUGUCCUCACUUAGCAUUAUUACCUCUUAGGACUGUCAGGUUGACGCUGAUCGCCAGCUCUUUAUGCAGGGCCUCUUUAGAUUUCUUACUAAAAAUAUUUUUAAAUAGUUGAGUGCCCCAGACAUUCUUGAAGCAGUCAUUUCCUUCCCUUCUCCUUUAUUAAUGGGCUAAUUUCCUUCGCCUCUCCAGUGCUGCUCUGAGGCACUUGUGGAAGGCCUGUUUAUUGCCUUUGGCUGACACUACCUUUCUCCUUCUCCACUCCCAACUUUAUCUUCUCCCUGCCAGCAGAACCAACCUUUGUUCCUUUCCUCCUUUGGGCUUCCCUCCCCUGCUCUACAUUUUCCUGGGGGGUAGUCUUCCCCUCCACGGGGGUGGGGGGUGUUCUGAACACUGGCUCCCCAGCCUGUUAAAUUGUGAUCACUCCUGCCCUCCUCAUUCUGAGAGGUUUUGGGCCGUGGCUGUGGUGAAGUCACAGUCUGGGUUGAAAGUGUCCAAGAUCUGUGUGAAAAAGCUGAUCAUAUUAAAUUUUCUUUUGCAUUUCAACGUUUUGCAGGGCACACACUGGGAUGCACACCCUUAAACAGGCAGGGCCUGGGCCUUUUCUUAUUUGAGACCCAGUGAGGAGCUCCUCACUGCUUUGUGAGGACGCAAGUGUGGUCAGUCAAUACCGAGGGGACCCGUAGCCGAUUUGGCUUCUGCUCUCUCCCAGCCCUCUCUUAAGGAGCCCCCGGGAUUCUUAGGAAAGACCGGCCAAGGGUGGGACAGAUAUGGUCCAUCAGCUCACUGCUGUAAUUGAGUGACCACCCCCCACCCCGCAAGCAAGCUUUACUUAACCUUUUUUUCCCCUUCAUAUUCUCAUAGAAGAUGGGAGUCCUGAGAAUAUCACUCCAAUUCUGACACCAAGUCCAAUGUAUGUGUGUGUGUGUGUGUGUGUGUGUGUGUGUGUGUGUGUGUGUGUUUUCACACCACCAAGCAAUCCUCCAACACUAGCCGGGUGACCUGCUAUUGAACUCAAAUCUGACACUGUCUACCCGGAGGUAGUGUCAGGUCCCUCAGGUUAAGGGUUCAGCCCCAUGAGACUGCCCCCCCUCCUACUUCAGAUGCCAAUCCCAAGUCCAGAUUGUCACCCACCUGUGCUUCUAACCCGCGGGCUAGAGAUCGGAAGGUCCCUCCUUCUGGGGCUCAAUUAAUUUGCUAGAGCGGCUCACAGAACUCAGAGAAACGUUACUUAUGUUUACCAGUUUAUUAUAAAAGAAUAUAUGUGAGGACCAGUCAGAUGGAGGAGAUGCACAGGGCCAGGUGUGGGGAAAGCUUGGGGCUGCCAUGCUCUUGGAGCAUUACACUCAUUCACCAACCUGGAAGUGUUCCGAACCCUGUCCUUUUCCUGGUUUUUAUGGAGGCUUCAUUACAUAGGCAUGAUUAGCUAAGUUAUUGGCCAUUGGUGAUUGAACUCACUCUCUAAACUUUCCUCCUCAGAAGUCAGAGAGGGUGGAACUAAAAGUUCCAAUCUCUAAUUACAAGGUUAGUUCUUCUGGUAACCAGUCCCCAUCCUUAGGUUACCCAGGGUCUUUUCAAAAGUCACCUCAUUAACAUAAAAAAAGACUCUUUCCCACUUCUCAUUUAGGAAAUCCCAAGGGUUUUAGGAGCUUUGUGCCAGGAAUGUGGACAAAGACCAAAUAUAUAUUUUAAAGACAAAAAUAUAUAUAUAUGUUGUGGAAUAUUGAACACUAUUCACUUCAAAGCUGAUAGAAGCAUCAGUUACCAUUUGAUUAUUCAUUCUAUAGGUAAGGAAAUAGGAUUGCAUAUCUCGCCCAGGGCAGGGCCAACCUACAGGUAGGGCUGGGACUAGAAUCUAAGGGUAAGGAUUCUCAGUUAGUACUCGUGCUAGGGUGAGCAAUCGGCCUGGUUUUCCAGGGACCUUUUUAGUUUUAGCACCAAAGUUCUGCUUCUCAGAAAACACUUCAGCCCAGCUGGUCACCCUAAACCUCUGGCCUUCCUGAGCCUUGUUGCUUUAUUGAUCAAAACAGUAUGUUUGCUGUCUUCAUAGCUUUUUACAGUGGAGAAAAAAAACCUUCAGAUGCCAAUCUUUGUAUAUAGGUAACAUUUUAAGUCACUGAAACCUAAAAUUUCACAAAAUAAGCAUUUUUCAGUUGGCCGGUUUUUUCUUUCUUUCUUUUUUUUUUUU